rnacentral:rRNA from 1 species
GACGACCGGCGCACGGGUGCGUAACGCGUAUAGAACCUACCUUUUACUGGAGAAUAGCCUUUAGAAAUGAAGAUUAAUGCUCCAUAGUAUUGCGACUCGGCAUCGAGAUGUAAUUAAAGAUUUAUUGGUAAAAGAUGGCUAUGCGUCCUAUUAGUUAGUUGGUAAGGUAACGGCUUACCAAGACAGCGAUAGGUAGGGGUCCUGAGAGGGAGAUCCCCCACACUGGUACUGAGACACGGACCAGACUCCUACGGGAGGCAGCAGUGAGGAAUAUUGGGCAAUGGAGGCAACUCUGACCCAGCCAUGCCGCGUGCAGGAAGACGGCCCUAUGGGUUGUAAACUGCUUUUAUACAGGAAGAAACACUGGUAUGUAUACCAGCUUGACGGUACUGUAAGAAUAAGGACCGGCUAACUCCGUGCCAGCAGCCGCGGUAAUACGGAGGGUCCGAGCGUUAUCCGGAAUCAUUGGGUUUAAAGGGUCCGCAGGCGGUCAAUUAAGUCAGAGGUGAAAUACCAUAGCUCAACUAUGGAACUGCCUUUGAUACUGGUUGACUUGAGUCAUAUGGAAGUAGAUAGAAUGUGUAGUGUAGCGGUGAAAUGCAUAGAUAUUACACAGAAUACCGAUUGCGAAGGCAGUCUACUACGUAUGUACUGACGCUGAGGGACGAAAGCGUGGGGAGCGAACAGGAUUAGAUACCCUGGUAGUCCACGCCGUAAACGAUGGAUACUAGUUGUUGGGCAUUAGCUCAGUGACUAAGCGAAAGUGAUAAGUAUCCCACCUGGGGAGUACGGUCGCAAGACUGAAACUCAAAGGAAUUGACG